rnacentral:lncRNA from 1 species
AAGAUGGCUGAGUGGGGAGAGAUGGCCGGGGGAGAGCAGCUGAGUCGCAGGAGAGGGAGACAGGCUGCCGGGCUAUAAAUACCUCCCAGGUCACCCGAGAUCUGCAAGGCCCUGUCUGUCGUCUCCGCACAGCCUCCACCAGCAGACAUCUAAAGAUCUCCAUGAAGAUGAGGUGUCUCAUCAGAGUUGUUGGGACUUACCCACAGAGGGGUCCCUAAAACCAAGGGACAUAGGGUGGUGUUAAGAUGCCUAAGUCCAAUGCCCCCCACUUCAUAGCCUCUAGGUCUCGGUCGUUUCCAGC